GACGAACGCUGGCGGCGUGCCUAAUACAUGCAAGUUGAGCGAUGAAGAUUGGUGCUUGCACCAAUUUGAAGAGCAGCGAACGGGUGAGUAACGCGUGGGGAAUCUGCCUUUGAGCGGGGGGCAACAUUUGGAAACGAAUGCUAAUACCGCAUAACAACUUUAAACAUAAGUUUUAAGUUUGAAAGAUGCAAUUGCAUCACUCAAAGAUGAUCCCGCGUUGUAUUAGCUAGUUGGUGAGGUAAAGGCUCACCAAGGCGAUGAUACAUAGCCGACCUGAGAGGGUGAUCGGCCACAUUGGGACUGAGACACGGCCCAAACUCCUACGGGAGGCAGCAGUAGGGAAUCUUCGGCAAUGGACGAAAGUCUGACCGAGCAACGCCGCGUGAGUGAAGAAGGUUUUCGGAUCGUAAAACUCUGUUGGUAGAGAAGAACGUUGGUGAGAGUGGAAAGCUCAUCAAGUGACGGUAACUACCCAGAAAGGGACGGCGAACUACGU
rnacentral:rRNA from 1 species